AUUGAACGCUGGCGGCAGGCCUAACACAUGCAAGUCGAGCGGAGCGGCGGACGGGUGAGUAAUGCCUAGGAAUCUGCCUGGUAGUGGGGGAUAACGUCCGGAAACGGGCGCUAAUACCGCAUACUAUCAGAUUAGCCUAGGUCGGAUUAGCUAGUUGGUGGGGAAAAGGCCUACCAAGGCGACGGUCCGUAACUGGUCUGAGAGGAUGAUCAGUCAAAUGGGAACUGAGACACGGUCAAGACUCCUACGGGAGGCAGCAGUGGGGAAUAUUGGACAAGGGGCGAAAGCCUGAACCAGCCAUGCCGCGUGUGUGAAGAAGGUCUUCGGAUUGUAAAGAACUUUAAGUUGGGAGGCGUUACCAACAGAAUAAGCACCGGCUAACUCCGUGCCAGCAGCCGCGUAAUUC
rnacentral:rRNA from 1 species